ensembl:lncRNA
CUGAAGUUCUCUUUUAAAGAACCACAGGUAAGGAUAUACCACACUAAUGAUAUGAUCCUACCGUUGUCAGAACAUGUGUUACUUUUACGUAGUAGUACCUAGGUCAUGGUGCUACCUUAAGUCAACUGAUGAUUUACCUUCAUGAUUUAAAUGUUAAAUUAAAUUUGAUGAGAUGUCUUUAACCUCAGCUAAUGAUGCUGACGUUUGAAAUUAAUCUUUUUGGCAAAGGAACAACAAUAGCAAAUGGAUUGAUGAAUUCAGUAUAAAUUGUGUAAUUACGACAUGGUGACUGAGAAACAGAGCAGUCCAAAUAUAACAGAAGUAACUAAUGAUGUAUCACCAUCAACUCAGCAGCAUUUUACAAAUCAAUUAUAAAUCAAAAUAGGUCCACGUAGGUUGUGGCACCAGGUCUGGAAGGAGAUAUCAUUACAUCUCACGAGAGAUCUUGAACCAGGUUUGAUGGAGUUCACUCGAUGAGUCUGCUCGUUCACAAAUAUGCAGUUGAUAAAGCCUAUUGAUCGCCUCCUAUUUCCACAAAUGAAAACUUAAAAUGAAAACUCACAUUGAAAAAUCGUAAUCACUCAAAAGCCUGUCAUUUACGAAAGAGAUUGGGACUUCAUCGUCCGUUUGUUUUGAGGACAGUACACACCUGUGAUGCAGGCUAUAUUACAGAUAUAUGUAUUUGUUUAACAUUUUGUUAUAGUCAGAAUGGAAACCUGGAGAGUUGUUGCGCUCAUCCAGGAGGAGAUAUAAUCAUAUCUCAUAAGAUCUCCAAUCAUCAUGUUCUGAAGUUCUCUUUUAAAGAACCACAGGUAAGGAUAGACCACACUAAUGAUAUGAUCCUACAGUUGUCAGAACAUGUGUUACUUUUACGUAGUAGUACCUAGGUCAUGGUGCUACCUUAAGUCAACUGAUGAUUUACCUUCAUGAUUUAAAU